rnacentral:rRNA from 1 species
UACGGGAGGGGGCAAGCGUUGUUCGGAAUUACUGGGCGUAAAGGGCGCGCAGGCGGCUGCUCAAGUCAGGCGUGAAAGGCCUGGGCUCAACCCGGGAAUUGCGCUUGAGACUGGGCUGGCUUGAGUUCGGUGAGGGGAGUGGGGAAGUUCCUGGUGUAGCGGUGAAAUGCGCAGAUAUCAGGAGGAACACCGGUGGCGAAGGCGCCACUCUGGGCCGAAACUGACGCUGAGGAGCGAAAGCGUGGGUAGCAAACAGG